UACGGGGGGGGCAAGCGUUGUUCGGAAUUACUGGGCGUAAAGGGCUCGUAGGUGGCCAACUAAGUCAGACGUGAAAUCCCACGGCUAAACCGUGGAACUGCUGGGUAUACUGGGUGUCUUGAGCCACUCAGGGGCUACCGGAACAAACGGUGGAGCGGUGAAAUGCGUAGAUAUCGUUUGGAACGCCAAUGGUGAAAACAGGUAGCUGGGGGUGUGCUGACACUGAGACACGAAAGCCAGGGGAGCAAACGGG
rnacentral:rRNA from 1 species